UACGUAGGGUGCGAGCGUUGUCCGGAAUUAUUGGGCGUAAAGAGCUCGUAGGCGGUGUGUCACGUCGGCCGUGAAAACCUGCAGCUUAACUGUGGGCGUGCGGUCGAUACGGGCAUCACUGGAGUUCGGCAGGGGAGACUGGAAUUCCUGGUGUAGCGGUGAAAUGCGUAGAUAUCUGGAGGAACACCGGUGGCGAAGGCGGCAUCCUGGACCGGCAUUGACGCUGAGGCGCGAAGGCCAGGGGAGCAAACGGG
rnacentral:rRNA from 1 species